AAAGCUUUGGAUAAAGCUUUUAUAUGAGGAUGACAAACCCUAGCUACACACACACACACACACACACACACACACACACACACACACACACACACACACAAUCACACAAGAGAUAAGGCAAUCAAGACCAGAGCUCAGGAUCAGAGCUACAGGAGUUUCUGUGCUGCCAUUCAGACGUCCUUCAGUGAACAGAGCACAGAAAAGAGAACAAUUAUGGAGGAAACACAGACCUUGCUGCAGAAGGUAAAUCAGGAUUUAGACGAGGUUCAGACCAUCAUGCAGAAUAACGUGAACAACAUAAAUGUGCGUGGGGAAAACCUCCAGGAUCUGGACGUGAGAGCCGAGCGGCUGUUGGAGUGUAGUCGGCUCUUCAAAAGGACCACCUUCAGACUGAAUGAACACCAGGACCAGCACUGCGUAAACUGGAAGACGUGUUGUUAUUGCCUUUUGUUUUUGUUAAUCGUCUGCAUCGUCGUCAGCGUCAUCAUCACUGGGACCCACUAUCACUGGUUCUCAUGAUGUCUCACCAGACCAGCUCGUGGAAUUUCCUUUUUGUUCCUCCAAGGAUUCAGAACGGUGCUCUUGAGCUUCACACACACUCUCCAGCUUUAGCUUCAUGCUUUUGGUGUUGGAGGUGUGAAGACCAAAAAAGAGCUUUAGUAGAUAAUAUGGUACAAACCUUAGAGAAGAUAUUUCAUCGAUUUAAAAAAACAAUCUCAAAAUUAUAAUUCUGAAAUUAAAAGAAGUACUGAAUCAAAUGAAGCAGGAGUGGAGGAAUAAUGAGGAGGAGGAGUGUCAUUUCCUCCUUUUUUUUUUAAUUUCUUUUUAAGUUUAAAUCUUUUUUUUUAUGUUUUUUUUUAUUUUGUACAAAUGUAUAUUCUUG